UACGUAGGGCGCAAGCGUUGUCCGGAAUUAUUGGGCGUAAAGAGCUCGUAGGCGGCUUGUCGCGUCGAUUGUGAAAGCCCGGGGCUUAACCUCGGGUCUGCAGUCGAUACGGGCUGGCUAGAGUGUGGUAGGGGAGAUCGGAAUUCCUGGUGUAGCGGUGAAAUGCGCAGAUAUCAGGAGGAACACCGGUGGCGAAGGCGGAUCUCUGGGCCAUUACUGACGCUGAGGAGCGAUAGCGUGGGGAGCGAACAGG
rnacentral:rRNA from 1 species